UCCCUGUGGUCUAGUGGCUAAGACUCCUGGACUCUCACCACCACAGCCGGGGUUUGAUUCCCAGGCAGGGAA